rnacentral:ribozyme from 13 species
CUAGAUGAAAAAAAAAAAAAAAAAAAAAAAAAAAAAAAAAAAAAAA